rnacentral:rRNA from 1 species
GACGAACGCUGGCGGCGUGCCUAAUACAUGCAAGUUGAGCGCUGAAGGUUGGUACUUGUACCAACUGGAUGAGCAGCGAACGGGUGAGUAACGCGUGGGGAAUCUGCCUUUGAGCGGGGGACAACAUUUGGAAACGAAUGCUAAUACCGCAUAAAAACUUUAAACACAAGUUUUAAGUUUGAAAGAUGCAAUUGCAUCACUCAAAGAUGAUCCCGCGUUGUAUUAGCUAGUUGGUGAGGUAAAGGCUCACCAAGGCGAUGAUACAUAGCCGACCUGAGAGGGUGGUCGGCCCCCUUGGGACUGAGACCCGGCCCAAACUCCUACGGGAGGCCGCCGGAGGGAAUCUUCGGCAAUGGACGAAAGUCUGACCGAGCAACGCCGCGUGAGUGAAGAAGGUUUUCGGAUCGUAAAACUCUGUUGGUAGAGAAGAACGUUGGUGAGAGUGGAAAGCUCAUCAAGUGACGGUAACUACCCAGAAAGGGACGGCUAACUACGUG